GACGAACGCUGGCGGCGUGCUUAAUACAUGCAAGUCGAACGGAAAGGCGCGGCUUUUGUUGGGCGCUCGAGAGGCGAACGGGUGAGUAACACGCGAGUAACCUGCCCUUGACUGUGGGAUAUCUCCAGGAAACUGGGGCGAAUACCGGAUAGGAGCUCCUGCUGCAUGGUGGGGGUUGGAAAGAGUGGGCGGUUGGGGAUGGACUCGCGGCUUAUCAGCUUGUUGGUGGGGUAGUGGCUUACCAAGGCUUUGACGGAUAGCCGGCCUGAGAGGGUGACCGGGCACAUGAGGACUGAGGUACGGCGCAGUAUCGUACGGGCGGCAGCGGUGGAGAGUCUUACGCAGUAAGGGGGAGCCUGAUGCGGCGGCGCCGGGUGCGGGAUGCCCGCCUUCGAGUUGUAAACCACUUUCGCCGUUGACGAGGCGGGAGUGACGGUAAUGGGUAAAGAAGCACCGGCUAACUACGUG
rnacentral:rRNA from 1 species